rnacentral:tRNA from 4 species
GGAGGUUUGGCAGAGUGGUCGAAUGCGGCGGUCUUGAAAACCGUUGGGCGUGAUGAGCGUCCCCAGGGUUCGAAUCCCUGAGCCUCCGCCA